rnacentral:rRNA from 1 species
GACGAACGCUGGCGGCGUGCUUAACACAUGCAAGUCGAACGAAGUGGCGAACGGGUGAGUAACGCGUAAUCAACCUGCCCUUCAGAGGGGGACAACAGUUGGAACCGACUGCUAAUACCGCAUACUGCAGGCGGGGUUUGCGUCUGAUUAGCUAGUUGGAGGGGUAACGGCCCACCAAGGCGAUGGUCAGUCGCCGGUUUGAGAAGAUGAACGGCCACAAUGGGACUGAUACACGGCCCAGACUCCUACGGGAGGCAGAAGUUGGGAAUUAUUCGAAAUGGGGGAAAGUCUGACGGAGCAACGCCGCGUGAGUGAUGAAGGCCUUUGGGUUGUAAAGCUCUGUUAAUCGGGACGCGGUACCGGAAUAGAAAGCCACGGCUAACUACGUGCCAGCAGCCGCGGUAAUUC